CCUUGGAAUUGAUCUUGAUUCAAGAAAAGCCUGGAGGAUGGAUGGAUCGAUGGCUCUCUCAUAAGGAAGAAGAAGAGAUAAGAGCGAUAUCAGAUUUGUAUAAGUAGAAGAAGCUAAUUAAAGGAGUCAUGGAAAAGGAUUGUGUUGCGUCACAGGAGGCGAGAACAUGGAGCAAUGCCAAUAGUUGCGUAGAUUAUAUGGUGCUUGAGACUAUCAUGUCGACUACUUCAAUUCAUUUUCUAACUCGUGUUGUACUUGUGUUGCACAUGAUCGAGAAAUUAUAUAAUGAAUGGGUUAUUUCAUGUAGGCAA